ensembl:processed_transcript
ACAAGUUGUUGGAAGAUGGCGAACGAUAACACAUCUUAUAAAUGGACCGAGGAAGACACACGCAACCUUAUUCCUUGGCGUGCUGCAAAUGACGGCCUAUUUACACGCCGUCGCUACGUGGCAACAAAAUGAUAUGAUUAGUGGAUCCUGAAGUAUGGUCUGCAAGUGCUGGAGCAUAACACAUUGUUGCCAUUUUGUUUCUUUCUUCUGCCAUGCAAACUGCAUCCACUGCCUCCACAACAGCUUCAUCCUCAUCAACACCGUCAUCUGUCUUAUCUGGUUCCAUGAUGCCUCCAUUGUUUAGGCAGAUGCUAUGCAGAACUGUGCAGCAGGCCACAACCUCUGGUGCAUAAAGGGGGUCAAUCUCAAGGGCUUUCAAAAAGAUGGAGCGCCAACUUGUUUUCAGAACCCCGAAAACCCGCUCUACAACACUGCAUGCUUUUGACAGGUGGUGGUUGAAAGCCUGCUGGAUUGGUGUGUGCAGGGGGUCAUCAGUCUGAUAGGCUGGGACAGACAGGGGUAUCCUCCAUCGCCAAGUAUAUAUCAUGCAGGGGGAGGAGCCUCUGGUAGUAUAUGGGGCUGUGUUUUAGCACCCUGGCAUCAUGAACAAACCCAGGAAACCCUGCAAACACAUCUAAAAAUUUGCCAUUGUGGUCACAGAUAGCUUGGAACUGUAUUGAAUGAAAUUAUUUUCUGUUUAAGUAGCAGAGAGAAUCAGUUGAUGGUGGCUUCAGGUGCACAUGACAUCCAUCGAUGCUGAAGCCAACUUGUUGAACAUUGGAGACCCAGCAAGCCAGGUAAAUUCAUUGCCUAAUGAAGGUAGGUCAUCACCAGAAGGGAUAGCUAUGAUCUUUUUU